rnacentral:rRNA from 1 species
GACGAACGCUGGCGGCGUGGAUUAGGCAUGCAAGUCGAACGGUAGGAUACCUUCGGGUAUCUGAGAGUGGCGAACGGGUGAGUAACACGUAGGUGAUCUACCCUCAAGAUUGGGACAACCCAGGGAAACUUGGGCUAAUACCGGAUGAAAGCAGCAGUGAUGUUGUUUGAAAGGUGGCGUAAGCUGCCGUUUGGGGAUGAGCCUGCGCUCUAUUAGUUAGUUGGCGGGGUAAAGGCCCACCAAGGCGAUGAUAGAUAGGCGGCCUUAACGGGUGGUCGCCCACACUGGGAUUGAGAUACGGCCCAGACUCCUACGGGAGGCAGCAGUCGAGAAUAGUCUACAAUGGCCGAAAGGCUGAUAGUGCGACGCCGCGUGAACGAAGAAGCCCUUCGGGGCGUAAAGUUCUUUUAUAUGUGAGCAGUGCUUUCUAUGUGAACAGCAUGGGGAGAGAGAUAUUAGCAUAUGAAUAAGCAACGGCUAACUCCGUGCCAGC